rnacentral:rRNA from 1 species
AGUGAACGCUGGCGGUAGGCCUAACACAUGCAAGUCGAACGGCAGCACAGUAAGAGCUUGCUCUUACGGGUGGCGAGUGGCGGAAGGGUGAGGUAUACAUCGGAAUCUACUUUUUCGUGGGGGAUAACGUAGGGAAACUUCCGCUAAUACCGCAUACGACCUACGGGUGAAAGCAGAGGAUCUUCGGACCUUGCGCGAAUGCAUGAGCCGAUGUCGGAUUAGCUAGUUGGCGGGGUAACGGCCCACCAAGGCGACGAUCCGUAGCUGGUCUGAGAGGAUGAUCAGCCACACUGGAACUGAGACACGGUCCAGACUCCUACGGGAGGCAGCAGUGGGGAAUAGUGGACAAUGGGCGCAAGCCUGAUCCAGCCAUACCGCGUGGGUGAAGAAGGCCUUCGGGUUGUAAAGCCCUUUUGUUGGGAAAGAAAAGCAGCAGGUUAAGACCCCGCUGUUCUGACGGUACCCAAAGAAUAAGCACCGGCUAACUUCGUG